rnacentral:tRNA from 1 species
GGCCCGAUGGCCAAGUGGUAAGGCGGAGCACUGCAAAUGCUUUAUUCCUCGGUUCGAAUCCGGGUCGGGCCU